rnacentral:lncRNA from 1 species
CUCCUUAUUUAUUGCCCGGUGCUCGGCUGCACAAAUGUAUAGCUUUUAGAAAAGAGUCAGCACUCAAGGACUUUCAAUGUGCUAAAAAAUGCAAAAAACCUUUUAAUCCAGUUGUUCAAAGAGGUCAACGUUUCAGUCCAUCGUCGUGGACUUUCAUCAGGACAUGUCCUGAUGAAAGUCCACGACGAUGGACUGAAACGUUGACCUCUUUGAACAACUGGAUUAAAAGGUUUUUUGCAUUUUUUAGCACAUUGAAAGUCCUUGAGUGCUGACUCUUUUCUAAAAGCUAUACAUUUGUGCAGCCGAGCACCGGGCAAUAAAUAAGGAGAGCUGGAGUGCAACUCCUAUCAUUCUUUGUAUAUAUAUAUAUAUAUAUAUAUAUAUCCAUCGGUUAAUGACACUGGAAGGUAUGGACAAUAAUAAUGCCUAUCUCCCAUUGGUACUUAACCUUUUAGCAAGGUAUGAUAUAUACAAUUUGGAAUCCCUGGCACCUUUAUGACUAGUUCCACUGCUCAUGCCACAACAAAGAAGAUGAAGCAGGAGUGGGAGAAGCCAAAGGAGUGAACUAUCCAUAUAGAUUGUCUUUCACCACCAACACUUAUUCCUGAUUUUUUAUGGACCCAGGGUUCCUUAUGCUUUACAAUAAGCUCCCAUCAUACAGCACACAAGAAGGGGGAGGAACCUGUUGUUUUUCCACUUCCCCCCAACAGUUAAGUUGGGGGGUUGAAAAGGUAGCUUUGUAGCUGACUUUCGGUUUAACUAUCAACAAUUUACAUUUGAAUCUCCUGUCACAUUUCAUUAGGCAUCAAACAAAAAGUCAGCACCUACAGGCUAUCAAGGUAUGUUCAAAAUGUCAUAAGAUACCUUAUUUCAAUUUAGAUUUAUUUGCCACAUUUCAAGUUAUAAAUAUUAUGACUAACAAUUUGCUUCAAGUAAUCAUCUUGAGCCUACCUAAGACCCACAAUUGUUAACUAAUUUCCCAAUAUAUAUCUCCCAAAUGGUUUAAGAGUUUCAUAGCUUGAUUCAUAGAGUACAUACUUGAGAACUUUCUUUAACCUUCUUAAAAAUUCUCCCAUCACUUCUUCAUUUUUUUUUUUACUUCAUCCAUUACCUUUUACCUGUCUCUGUCCCUGUCUACUUACAUAUACAGGCAUACUGACAUAUAUUCAUUGUUUGCUUGUUUUCCAAUUUGCAUUAGCAAUGAUAAAAGCACAACACAUCUUUGUGCUACUGUUUUGUAUGUUUAGGGAGUUUAAGUUAUUUGCUCUAUCCUUUAUCUAUUGUUACAUAGUUUGACAACAAUAUAAAAAAUAUAUAUUGUAAAUGUUGUCAAGCAUCUGUUUUGAGAUCUCUGCAUAAUCAUCAAUGUACAGUAGAACAAUUAUUUAAUAUAAUGAUAUGUUUUAUUUAAUUAACCAGAAGCCAUUAAAUUGCUUUAUUAGUAAAUAACCAUUUAAUCCUUUGAGGGCAAUUUAAGUGAGCAAACCAUGUAAAUACAUUGUAUUGCUUAAAACUCACGAAAUUAAAGGUCUUCUAAUCAAGUCACUUAAUUGAAUGUUCUGUUGAUACGAUUUUUAUAGAUAAAUCUGUUGUUAAAAGAGCUUUAGGAAUUGUUAGGAAUGGAAUAUUUGUUUCCCUAAAAAAGUAUUUUAUUUUCACUUUUUUGCAGGGUGCGUGAUAUUUUUUUCAUAAUAUUAAACUACUUUAAAUUGCCACAUUAAAAUUUUACAUGCUAUUUUAAAUCUUCAAACAUACUUAUACAGCAAUUGUGUUAUAUAGUUGUAAAAUGGCAUGAAUAAUUGAUGAUUUUUUUAAAUUGUACUUAAAAAGGCACACAGAGUUCUUGAUGGAAUUUAUUUUUACAAAUAUAAUUAUUCAAAAUAAGAGAAUGGAAAUAUUCUGUUAUUUGUGACCUUGUUAAAAACAAAUUAGAACAAAGUUAUCACCUGUGAAAAUUCUU